UCCGGUUCCGCAAUUAUAUAUAUAUAUAUAUAUAUAUAUAUAUAUACAGAGAGAGAGAGAGAGAGAGAGAUUGAUUGGCUUCGAUCGAUCUCUUUGUGUGUCAGUCUGAGAACUUCUAGCUUGAUGAGCUCCGGAAGGAAGAAGACGUACGUAGAAGAGGAAACGAUGAUGAAAA